rnacentral:tRNA from 1 species
GGAGAGAUGUCCGAGUGGUUGAAGGUGGUGGUCUCGAAAACCACUGUACAGUUAAAUGCUGUACCGAGGGUUCGAAUCCCUCUCUCUCCGCCA